rnacentral:rRNA from 1 species
UACGAAGGGGGCUAGCGUUGUUCGGAAUUACUGGGCGUAAAGCGCACGUAGGCGGCAUAGCAAGUCGAAUGUGAAAUCCCUCGGCUUAACCAAGGAAGUGCAUCCGAAACUGCUGUGCUUGAGUACGAAAGAGGAUCGCGGAAUUCCCGGUGUAGAGGUGAAAUUCGUAGAUAUUCGCAAGAACACCAGUGGCGAAGGCGGCUCACUGGCCCGAUACUGACGCUGAGGCACGAAAGCGUGGGGAGCAAACAGG